UUAAGAUAAGUAGCAGUGCUUUUUAAAUUCACAAAACAGAUUCUGUUAGACCAGAGGGAGUAUGUUCCCCCACAUGGCCAGAUCAGCUAGCCUCAUUGCUGACCUAAAGGGACAGCUCCUAGAUGAAGGUUGUAGCUAAAUUUUUUAUGGCCCGUUUAGUCCUUGGCCUCU
rnacentral:sRNA from 1 species